GACGAACGCUGGCGGCGUGCUUAACACAUGCAAGUCGAGCGGUAAGGCCCUUUCGGGGGUACACGAGCGGCGAACGGGUGAGUAACACGUGGGUGACCUGCCCUCAGCUCUGGGAUAAGCCUGGGAAACCGGGUCUAAUACCGGAUAUGACUCCAUGACGCAUGUUGUGGGGUGGAAAGCCUUGUGCGGCUGAGGAUGGGCCCGCGGCCUAUCAGCUUGUUGGUGGGGUGAUGGCCUACCAAGGCGACGACGGGUAGCCGGCCUGAGAGGGCGACCGGCCACACUGGGACUGAGACACGGCCCAGACUCCUACGGGAGGCAGCAGUGGGGAAUCUGCGCAAUGGGCGAAAGCCUGACGCAGCGACG
rnacentral:rRNA from 1 species